UUUCCAACAUUUGAUGGAACAAAUCCCAUGGAGCAGCUGAGAACUACUGAGAAAUUUGUCUCUAUGGUGUAUGUUCCUGAAGAAGCCAAAUGGGAUAAUGCUCAAAUGUACCGCACUGGCAAAGCAGACGCAUGGCUAAGAAACUCCGGAGUGUUAGAUGAAAAUAUCACUUGGGACCAAAUUUGUGCUAUUGUACUCAAGAGAUUUUCUGAAAACAGCUCCUAUGAGGUGGUAGAAAACUUCAACUCAAUUAAACAAGGCUCCCUAAAGAUGGCAUCCUAUAAGACAGAAAACCCAGUGGUUAUUGAGAGCUACUAUGUUAAAUGUUUUGUAAAUGGACUGAGGCCUAAAAUCAAGAAUUACCUCAAACCUUUGAAGCCACAAACAUUGUACGAGGCAGUUGAAAUUGCCAAGGACACGGAGUUAGGGGUACAAGCGCAAGCAUCACAGAAUAAAUUAUCUUCCUAA
rnacentral:rRNA from 1 species